rnacentral:rRNA from 1 species
UACGUAGGGUGCAAGCGUUAAUCGGAAUUACUGGGCGUAAAGCGUGCGCAGGCGGUUUUGUAAGUCUGAUGUGAAAUCCCCGGGCUCAACCUGGGAAUUGCAUUGGAGACUGCAAGGCUAGAAUCUGGCAGAGGGGGGUAGAAUUCCACGUGUAGCAGUGAAAUGCGUAGAGAUGUGGAGGAACACCGAUGGCGAAGGCAGCCCCCUGGGUCAAGAUUGACGCUCAUGCACGAAAGCGAGGGGAGCAAACAGG